GAGCAAACCAUAAAGAGCAAGCUAGUGGGCUGGAGAGAUGGCUCAGCGGUUAGGAACACUAACUGCUCUUCCGAAGGCCGAGUUCAAACCCCAGCAACCACAUGGUGGCUCACAACCAUCUGUAAUGAGAUCUGGUGCCCUCUUCUGGAGUGUCUAAAGAUGUCUACUUACAUAUAAUAAGCUUCUGCAAGAAGAAACUCUUUGAAGCACUUUAGUGGUUAAAUGGUCACCCAGCACUGCUCACUGUCUUCUAUGGUUUGUGUGAAGCUCUACCACUGAGGUUACUGAACCCACAUGCAUUGUAACAGCACUUCCUGUAGGAGCAGGGGUCCAGCCGCUGUGUCAGCUAUCAUGGGCACCUGAGAUUUGCUGCUUGUCCCCUGAUAAAGGUCUGAAACAUGGGAUUUACAGUCAGUCAGUUUGCAUGGACUGAGCAAGCCUAGCCAACCAGUAUGUGUCCUUUUAUAUUUCUGAUUAUUUGUAAAGUUUUUAAGUCAUGUAAAUCUAUAUUUUAAUCUCAAAGGCAUUUUAAAAUGCAAGUAAAAUCAUUUUUUAAGUUCAGUAAAAAGCUUUUCUUUUGUUUUGUUUUUUUAAGACAGGGUCUCUCUCUACCUAGCAUUGGCUGUCCUGGCACUAUAUAGACUUCAAACUCAGAGAUCUGCCUGCCUCAGCCUCCCAAAUGCUGAGAUCAAAUUCAUGGACCACCACACCUGGCCCAGGGAAAGCUUCUCAACUUCAAAGUUCAUAAUAUUUUACUUAGAACUCAGAAUAAAUAAAAUGUGUAUUAACACUAGGGAGACUUCUUUCAGAAGAGGCCAUGAUGACAUUUUUAUGCUAACCAGCACUCAUUUUACAGGUUUCAUGAAUAAUGAGUUGCAUUUAUCGGUAUUUGGGUCUCGAUAGCCAGGAAACUGCUUUCUGCUUAGAUCAGUUGUGCAGUCAACCACUCAAUUUGUGUCCUUUGGUAGAUAUAAACCUGAAAAUGCAGUUAUGUACUAACGCAGUGUAAUAACAAUUACUCCGAAAAACUAAAAAAAUUCCAAAUAAAUGAACAAUAGUAAUAAAUGUUUUUAAAUAUAAUACUUUGAAACUCACUAAGUAUAUGAAAGACAAAACAGAAUGAUUAUAGUUACAUGCAGACUUUCAAGGGUUCUCUUUCCCAUAUAUUAACUAUAAUGUGUGGGUUUUAAGUCUGAGUUGUUUGUAGUGUUUGCUGCCUAUACUCUUUGUUUUUGUUUUUGUUUUUGUUUUUGAGACAGGGUUUCUCUGUGUAGCCCUGGCUGUCCUGGAACUCACUUUGUAGGACCAGGCUGGCCUCGAACUCAGAAAUCCGCCUGCCUCUGCCUCCCAAGUGCUGGGAUUAAAGGCGUGCGCUACCACGCCCGGCGCUGCCUAUACUCUUAGGCAAUUGAAAAACACACAUCCUGUAACUAUAAUCUCUGCAAGGCAGAUACUAAACAACGCUUUAGUAUUAAUGAUCAACUAAUGUCAUGCGAAUCAAUAAAUAAGAAGCUGUGUUUUAAGUUCC
rnacentral:lncRNA from 1 species